UACAUGUGGGGCAAGCGUUGUUCGGAAUUACUGGGCAUAAAGGGUGCGUAGGUGGUUUGUUAAGUCACGGGUGAAAGUUUUCGGCCCAACCGGAAAAUUGCCCGUGAUACUGGCGAACUUGAGUGCGUGAGGGGUAACCGGAACGAGCAGUGUAGCGGUGGAAAUGCGUAGAUAUUGCUCGGAAGGCCAGAGGCGAAGGCGGGUUACUGGUGCGCAACUGACACUGAGGCACGAAAGCGUGGGGAGCAAACAGG
rnacentral:rRNA from 1 species